GACGAACGCUGGCGGCGUGCUUAACACAUGCAAGUCGAACGGAAAGGCCCUGCUUUUGUGGGGUGCUCGAGUGGCGAACGGGUGAGUAACACGUGAGUAACCUGCCCUUGACUUUGGGAUAACUUCAGGAAACUGGGGCUAAUACCGGAUAGGAGCUCCUGCUGCAUGGUGGGGGUUGGAAAGUUUCGGCGGUUGGGGAUGGACUCGCGGCUUAUCAGCUUGUUGGUGGGGUAGUGGCUUACCAAGGCUUUGACGGGUAGCCGGCCUGAGAGGGUGAACGGCCACAUUGGGACUGAGAUACGGCCCAGACUCCUACGGGAGGCAGCAGUGGGGAAUAUUGCACAAUGGGCGGAAGCCUGAUGCAGCAACCCCGCGUGCGGGAUGACGGCCUUCGGGUUGUAAACCGCUUUCGCCUGUGACCAAGCGUGAGUGACGGUAAUGGGUAAAGAAGCACCGGCUAACUACGUG
rnacentral:rRNA from 1 species